rnacentral:rRNA from 1 species
GAUGAACGCUGGCGGCGUGCCUAAUACAUGCAAGUCGAGCGAACGGACGAGAAGCUUGCUUCUCUGAUGUUAGCGGCGGACGGGUGAGUAACACGUGGAUAACCUACCUAUAAGACUGGGAUAACUUCGGGAAACCGGAGCUAAUACCGGAUAAUAUUUUGAACCGCAUGGUUCAAAAGUGAAAGACGGUCUUGCUGUCACUUAUAGAUGGAUCCGCGCUGCAUUAGCUAGUUGGUAAGGUAACGGCUUACCAAGGCAACGAUGCAUAGCCGACCUGAGAGGGUGAUCGGCCACACUGGAACGGAGACACGGUCCAGACUCCUACAGGAGGCAGCAGUAGGGAAUCUUCCGCAAUGGGCGAAAGCCUGACGGAGCAACGCCGCGUGAGUGAUGAAGGUCUUCGGAUCGUAAAACUCUGUUAUUAGGGAAGAACAUAUGUGUAAGUAACUGUGCACAUCUUGACGGUACCUAAUCAGAAAGCCACGGCUAACUACGUG